UGGGGAAUAUUGCACAAUGGGCGCAAGCCUGAUGCAGCCAUGCCGCGUGUAUGAAGAAGGCCUUCGGGUUGUAAAGUACUUUCAGCGGGGAGGAAGGGAGUAAAGUUAAUACCUUUGCUCAUUGACGUUACCCGCAGAAGAAGCUCCGGCUAACUCCGUGCCAGCAGCCGCGGUAAUACGGAGGGUGCAAGCGUUAAUCGGAAUUACUGGGCGUAAAGCGCACGCAGGCGGUUUGUUAAGUCAGAUGUGAAAUCCCCGGGCUCAACCUGGGAACUGCAUCUGAUACUGGCAAGCUUGAGUCUCGUAGAGGGGGGUAGAAUUCCAGGUGUAGCGGUGAAAUGCGUAGAGAUCUGGAGGAAUACCGGUGGCGAAGGCGGCCCCCUGGACGAAGACUGACGCUCAGGUGCGAAAGCGUGGGGAGCAAACAGG
rnacentral:rRNA from 1 species